UGAAUACGAGACGCUAAGGCGUCGAAGUAGUGUAUGUCAUACUUCCAAGAAAAGCUUGCACUGUCAUAGAUAAAAAACGCCUGUACCAUAACCGACACAGGUGGGUAGGUAGAGUAUACUAAGGGGCGCGAGAUAACUCUCUCUAAGGAACUCGGCAAAAUAACUCCGUAACUUCGGGAGAAGGAGUGCCUUAUUCGUAAGGUUGCAAUAACAAGAUCCAAGCAACUGUUUAUCAAAAACACAGGUCUCCGCUAAGUCGUAAGACGAUGUAUGGGGGCUGACGCCUGCCCAGUGCCAGAAGGUUAAAGAAGUUGGUUAGCAAUUGCGAAGCUGAUAACUGAAGCCCUGGUGAACGGCGGCCGUAACCAUAACGGUCCUAAGGUAGCGAAAUUCCUUGUCGGGUAAGUUCCGACCCGCACGAAAGGCGUAAUGAUUUGGAUACUGUCUCGGAGAGGGGCUCGGUGAAAUAGACUUGUCUGUGAAGAUGCGGACUACCUGCACCAGGACAGAAAGACCCUAUGAAGCUUUACUGUAACUUGAAAUUGAAAUUGGACUUUAUUCGCGCAGUAUAGGUGGGAGGCGUUGAUUAUAAUCUUGUGGGAUUAUUGGAGCCAUCAGUGAGAUACCACUCUUGUAAUGUUAGAUUUCUAACUUUGAAUCAUUAUCUGGUCAAAGAACAGUUUCAGGCGGGCAGUUUGACCGGGGCGGUCGCCUCCUAAACGGUAACGGAGGCGUACAAAGGUUUCCUCUGAACGGUUAGAAAUCGUAUCUAGAGUGUAAAGGCAUAAGGAAGCUUGUCUGUGAGACCUACAAGUCGAGCAGGGACGAAAGUCGGUCUUAGUGAUCUGACGGUACUGAGUGGAAAGGCCGUCACUCAACGGAUAAAAGUUACUCUAAGGAUAACAGGCUGAUCUCCCCCAAGAGUUCACAUCGACGGGGAGGUUUGGCACCUCGAUGUCGGCUCAUCGCAUCCUGGGGCGGUAGUACGUCCCAAGGGUUGGGCUGUUCGCCCAUGAAAGCGGUACGCGAGCUGGGUUCAGAACGUCGUGAGACAGUUCGGUCCAUAUCCGGUGUAGGCGUUAGAAUAUUGAGAGGAGCCUUCUUUAGUACGAGAGGACCGAGAAGGACAUACCUCUGGUGUACCAGUUAUCGUGCCAACGGUAAACGCUGGGUAGCUAUGUAUGGAGUGGAUAACCGCUGAAAGCAUCUAAGUGGGAAGCCCACCUCAAGAUAAGUAUUCUCAUCAU
rnacentral:rRNA from 1 species